UGGGGAAUCUUGGACAAUGGGGGAAACCCUGAUCCAGCAAUGCCGCGUGAGUGAUGAAGGCCUUCGGGUUGUAAAGCUCUUUUACCAGGGAUGAUAAUGACAGUACCUGGAGAAUAAGCUCCGGCUAACUCCGAGCCAGCAGCGGCGGUAAUACGGAGGAUGCAAGCGUUAUCCGGAAUGAUUGGGCGUAAAGGGUCUGCAGGCGGCUAUGCAAGUCUGCUGUUAAAGAGUGGAGCUCAACUCCAUAAGGGCAGUGGAAACUGCGUGACUAGAGUACGUUCGGGGUAGAGGGAAUUCCUGGUGUAGCGGUGAAAUGCGUAGAUAUCAGGAAGAACACCGGUGGCGAAAGCGCUCUACUAGGCCGUAACUGACACUGAGAGACGAAAGCGAAGGGAGCGAAUGGGAUUAGAUACCCCCGUAGUCC
rnacentral:rRNA from 1 species